AUGUUCUUUUCAUUUGCUUCCAGAAGCCCAAAGAAUGAGUGCGAUGGAGAUAUAAGCAACACAGACACACCACAGCUUUCCGUGACAGGAGAACAAAGAUGUACUGCAGCACAUGGAGAAUCUGAUCUAUUUUGCAAAAGUCAAACGUCCCAGGAGGAAACAUGUGCAGUGAGACAGACUGAACACUGUGUGGCGCCUCUGAACAUGUGGACAACGCCGAGCUGAGCCCGACAAGCUGGAUCUGAGAUGCGUGGAAAUCCAUCUUUGCAGGGGACAAAUCAUUUUCUUUUAGGGUAUAACAACGUGGUUCUUCCUGCUGCACAAUCAAACCAAAUUUUAAACAUCUUGGCCCAUUUUGAUCCAAGAAUAGCCAAUUUGCCCGUCUAUUUUUGAAUCCAUUCAAAUCUGUUUUCUAGCACAUAAUGAGCAUUAUAGCCUCCUGGAGCCACUACCGCGGGGCGCUGGUUUUCUGUCUAAUGGAGUGUAAACAUCAAACAAAACACCCCCGGAAAAUCAUUUGGAGGCCCUGUGUAAGUUUUAUUAACAAGAGAGGAGUUAAGAGUGCUCCCUAUAAGCUGUUUGCUCAGACCUACUGUAUACUGUAGUUCUAAUAUUAGCUCCCAAAGUGGGAACCGGGGACUGCCAGGGCGCCGUUAGGGAAUUUCCUGUAGCUCCCAGAAAAAAAAGAGCUGUAGUUGAGUUUCAGCUCUAUUGCAAGAGAUUCAGAAUGCCUACUGUGCUUUUUUAAAAAAAAAAAAAUUAUUAGUAGGCUAUCCCCGCAGUCUCGUGAAAUAAGACGUCUACGUCUUUUCUUUGACGAGAGCUCCUAAGAAACAAUGUGGAUAUGUUUGAAAUGAAAUUAGAUCACGGACCUUGUAGAUUGAACUAGUCAACAAUAAAUCUACCUUCACCAGAUGCAGCUUUAAAAAAAAAAAAAAAAGUACAGAUAAUGUGAUUCAGUUAUGACAUAUACUUUUCUUUUUAGGUUAUUUAGAUUUUAUCCUCUGCGGGGGAAAAAAAAGGCUGCCUCAUUAUCUCCGUUCUCUGAUUUUAUAUGAAUUCAGUUCAUGCAAUGUCAGGUCACAGGAUAUUUUAACAUAAGCAUAUUCAAACUUUAACUUGGAAGAACUGGCUUUCAGUCUUGAAACUGUCCAGUUGAAGGGCCAAUACUUGAACGCACUUUAUAGACUAUACUCACGUAUUGGCAAUUUUCACUUUGUAGAGUAGUUUGUGAAAAUAAUGUAACUCUUGAGUGUGAAAUUUCUGUCUGUCAUGUCUUUGAAUUUGUAGAGCUUUAGUUAUUAUAUGCACAUGGUUUCGUAUGGCUGUUUAGAAAAAGGAUUAAAUGAAUAAUCUCUGCACAGUACAUACUAUUGAUUACCUUUGCACUUCUAUUCAAGUGACAAUUUGAACGCAGGAUUUGUGUUUUCUAACGGCUUAGGGUUAUUUUUACAUUGUUUUAUUCUGUACUUUUACUCAAGCAGAGGAUCUGUCUUCCGCCACUGUUAUGGAAAUGUUGUCUUAUAUUAAAG
rnacentral:lncRNA from 1 species